UGGGGAAUUUUGCACAAUGGGGGAAACCCUGAUGCAGCGACGCCGCGUGAUUUAGAAGGCCUUCGGGUUGUAAAAAUCUUUUCUAUGGGAAGAAAAUGACAGUACCAUAGGAAUAAGGACCGGCUAAUUACGUGCCAGCAGCCGCGGUAAUACGUAAGGUCCGAGCGUUGUCCGGAAUCAUUGGGCGUAAAGGGUACGUAGGCGGGUAAGCAAGUUAGAAGUGAAAUCCUAUAGCUCAACUAUAGUAAGCUUUUAAAACUGCUCAUCUUGAGGUAUGGAGGGGAAAGUGGAAUUCCUAGUGUAGCGGUGAAAUGCGCAGAUAUUAGGAGGAAUACCGGUGGCGAAGGCGACUUUCUGGCCAUAACCUGACGCUGAGGUACGAAAGCGUGGGUAGCAAACAGG
rnacentral:rRNA from 1 species